UGCAGAGGGGGCAAGCGUUGUUCGGAAUUACUGGGCGUAAAGGGCGCGUAGGCGGCCCGCUAAGUCGAACGUGAAAUCCCCGAGCUCAACUCGGGAACUGCGUCCGAUACUGGCGGGCUUGAAUCCGGGAGAGGGAUGCGGAAUUCCAGGUGUAGCGGUGAAAUGCGUAGAUAUCUGGAGGAAUACCGGUGGCGAAGGCGGCAUCCUGGACCGAUAUUGACACUGAGGAGCGAAAGCCAGGGGAGCAAACGGG
rnacentral:rRNA from 1 species